UACAGAGGGUGCUAGCGUUGUUCGGAAUUAUUGGGCGUAAAGGGCGCGUAGGCGGCCCUGUGUGUCGGGUGUGAAAGCCCACCUCUUAAAGGUGGAAUUGCAUUCGAAACUACAGGGCUGGAGUGUCGGAGAGGAUGGCGGAAUUCCUGGUGUAGAGGUGAAAUUCGUAGAUAUCAGGAGGAACACCGGUGGCGAAGGCGGCCAUCUGGACGACAACUGACGCUGAGGCGGCGAAAGCGUGGGGAUCAAACAGGGAUUAAGA
rnacentral:rRNA from 1 species